AAGAACGACAGGUGUAUUCGAGCCGAGACCAUCUGCGUACAGCUUGUGGGUGUACAAUACGUACGGACGCUCCUGCGACAAAGUAAGUAUUUUGAUGCGGAAAUGCCUCUCGUGCAUCUGGAAAAUGUGGAAAUGAAGCUCGACACUUAAAUUCUACAAGCGGUAAGUCGUAAUUCAAGCCUUUUAUUUGUCCCCUGUUGUUGUCGAGUUCAGCGCCCCUAAAACGGAUCACCCACCAUUGGCACACGCUUACUGCACGCCAUAAACUGAAAUGCCAAAAGUAAAGCAAAGGCCACCACCCCACCACA